GAUGAACGCUGGCGGCAGGCUUAAUACAUGCAAGUCGAGGGAAAGCACCAGAGAUUGCUUUUUUUGCUUUGACGGCGGCCGGGGCAAGUACCAGUUGCUCAUCUUCCCUAUACGCAUGGCUUAACUCCGGCAAACCGAAGCUAAUACCGAUAAUCAAUUUUAUCCCCCGGAUUCAUAGGUAAAGGAGGAUCUUUUUAUCCGUUAUGGAUGGAUCCGCGCUGCAUUAGCUAGUUGGUAAGGUAACGGCUUACCAAGGCAACGAUGCGUAGCCGACCUGAGAGGGUGAUCGGCCACACUGGAACUGAGACACGGUCCAGACUCCUACGGGAGGCAGCAGUAGGGAAUCUUCCGCAAAGGGCGAAAGCCUGACGGAGCAACGCCGCGUGAGUGAUGAAGGUCUUCGGAUCGUAAAACUCUGUUAUUAGGGAAGAACAAAUGUGUAAGUAACUGUGCACAUCUUGACGGUACCUAAUCAGAAAGCCACGGCUAACUACGUG
rnacentral:rRNA from 1 species